rnacentral:ncRNA from 1 species
GCCGAGGAGCGCUGCGACGGGACCCAUCUCCCGCGAGGCUCGGCCCCGAGCACGAAACCUCUUCAAACGGCGCUCGACC